rnacentral:rRNA from 1 species
UGGGGAAUUUUGGACAAUGGGCGAAAGCCUGAUCCAGCAAUGCCGCGUGUGUGAAGAAGGCCUUCGGGUUGUAAAGCACUUUUGUCCGGAAAGAAAUCCUUGGCUCUAAUACAGUCGGGGGAUGACGGUACCGGAAGAAUAAGCACCGGCUAACUACGUGCCAGCAGCCGCGGUAAUACGUAGGGUGCAAGCGUUAAUCGGAAUUACUGGGCGUAAGCGUGCGCAGGCGGUUUGCUAAGACCGAUGUGAAAUCCCCGGGCUCAACCUGGGAACUGCAUUGGUGACUGGCAGGCUAGAGUAUGGCAGGAGGGGGGUAGAAUUCCACGUGUAGCAGUGAAAUGCGUAGAGAUGUGGAGGAAUACCGAUGGCG